rnacentral:rRNA from 1 species
AUUGAACGCUGGCGGCAGGCUUAACACAUGCAAGUCGAGCGGGGGAAGGUAGCUUGCUACCGGACCUAGCGGCGGACGGGUGAGUAAUGCUUAGGAAUCUGCCUAUUAGUGGGGGGCAACAUCUCGAAAGGGAUGCUAAUACCGCAUACGUCCUACGGGAGAAAGCAGGGGAUCUUCGGACCUUGCGCUAAUAGAUGAGCCUAAGUCGGAUUAGCUAGUUGGUGGGGUAAAGGCCUACCAAGGCGACGAUCUGUAGCGGGUCUGAGAGGAUGAUCCGCCACACUGGGACUGAGACACGGCCCAGACUCCUACGGGAGGCAGCAGUGGGGAAUAUUGGACAAUGGGGGGAACCCUGAUCCAGCCAUGCCGCGUGUGUGAAGAAGGCCUUAUGGUUGUAAAGCACUUUAAGCGAGGAGGAGGCUACUUUAGUUAAUACCUAGAGAUAGUGGACGUACUCGCAGAAUAAGCACCG